rnacentral:rRNA from 1 species
AGUGAACGCUGGCGGCGUGCCUAAUACAUGCAAGUCGAACGGAGUGGCGCACGGGUGAGUAAUAUAUAGCUAAUCUGCCCCUUGCUGGAGGACAACAGUUAGAAAUGACUGCUAAUACUCCAUAGCAAGGGAUGAGACUAUAUCGUAUCAGCUAGUCGGUGGGGUAACGGCCUACCGAGGCGAUGACGCGUAACUGGUCUGAGAGGAUGAUCAGUCAAAUUUGAAGUGAGACACGGUCCAAACUCCUUCGGGAGGGAGCAGUAGGGAAUAUUGCGCAAUCGGGGAAUCCCUGACGCAGCAACGGGUCGUGGAGGAUGACACUUUUCGGGGCGGACACUCCUUUUGUUAGGGAAGCGUUACCUAACGAAUAAGCACCGGCUAACUCCGUGCCAGCAGCCGCGGUAAUUC